GAGUUUGAUCAUGGCUCAGGAUGAACGCUAGCGGCAGGCUUAACACAUGCAAGUCGAGGGGUAACAGGGAUUGCUUGCAAUCCGCUGACGACCGGCGCACGGGUGCGUAACGCGUAUGCAACCUACCUUCUACAGGGGGAUAGUCAAUAGAAAUGUUGAAUAAUACCCCAUACGAUCUUUGAAUAGCAUUAUUUAAAGAAGAAAGUUCCGGCGGUAGAAGAUGGGCAUGCGUCCUAUUAGUUAGUUGGAGAGGUAACGGCUCCCCAAGACAUCGAUAGGUAGGGGUCCUGAGAGGGAGACCCCCCACACUGGUACUGAGACACGGACCAGACUCCUACGGGAGGCAGCAGUGAGGAAUAUUGGACAAUGGAGGCAACUCUGAUCCAGCCAUGCCGCGUGCAGGAAGACUGCCCUAUGGGUUGUAAACUGCUUUUAUACAGGAAGAAAUGUACCUACGUGUAGGUAUUUGACGGUACUGUACGAAUAAGGAUCGGCUAACUCCGUGCCAGCAGCCGCGGUAAUACGGAGGAUCCAAGCGUUAUCCGGAAUCAUUGGGUUUAAAGGGUCCGUAGGCGGUCUUUUAAGUCAGAUGUGAAAUCCCCGAGCUCAACUUGGGAACUGCGUUUGAAACUGUAAGACUAGAGUGUGUCAGAGGGGGGUAGAAUUCCAAGUGUAGCAGUGAAAUGCGUAGAGAUUUGGAGGAAUACCAAUGGCGAAGGCAGCCCCCUGGGAUAACACUGACGCUCAUGCACGAAAGCGUGGGGAGCAAACAGGAUUAGAUACCCUGGUAGUCCACGCCCUAAACGAUGUCUACUAGUUGUUGGUGGAGUAAAAUCCAUGAGUAACGCAGCUAACGCGUGAAGUAGACCGCCUGGGGAGUACGGUCGCAAGAUUAAAACUCAAAUGAAUUGACGGGGGCCCGCACAAGCGGUGGAUUAUGUGGAUUAAUUCGACGCAACGCGAAAAACCUUACCUGGCCUUGACAUGUACCGAAUUUAGCAGAGAUGCUUUAGUGCUCGAAAGAGAACGGUAACACAGGUGCUGCAUGGCUGUCGUCAGCUCGUGUCGUGAGAUGUUGGGUUAAGUCCCGCAACGAGCGCAACCCUUGCCAUUAAUUGCCAUCAUUUAGUUGGGCACUUUAAUGGGACUGCCGGUGACAAACCGGAGGAAGGUGGGGAUGACGUCAAGUCCUCAUGGCCCUUAUGGCCAGGGCUUCGCACGUAAUACAAUGGUCGGUACAGAGGGAAGCCAACCCGCGAGGGGGAGCCAAUCUCAGAAAGCCGGUCGUAGUCCGGAUUGUUGUCUGCAACUCGACAGCAUGAAGUCGGAAUCGCUAGUAAUCGCGGAUCAGCAUGUCGCGGUGAACACGUUCCCGGGCCUUGUACACACCGCCCGUCACACCAUGGGAGUGGGUUUUACCAGAAGUAGUUAGUCUAUCCGCAAGGGGGACGAUUACCACGGUAGGAUUCAUGACUGGGGUGAAGUCGUAACAAGGUAACC
rnacentral:rRNA from 1 species